rnacentral:rRNA from 1 species
UCUGGUAGUUAUGGCGAGAAGGUCACACCCGUUCCCAUCCCGAACACGGUAGUUAAGCUUCUCUGCGCCAAUGGUAGUUGGGG